rnacentral:rRNA from 1 species
AGCGAACGCUGGCGGCAGGCUUAACACAUGCAAGUCGAGCGGGCAUAGCAAUAUGUCAGCGGCAGACGGGUGAGUAACGCGUGGGAACGUACCUUUUGGUUCGGAACAACACAGGGAAACUUGUGCUAAUACCGGAUAAGCCCUUACGGGGAAAGAUUUAUCGCCGAAAGAUCGGCCCGCGUCUGAGUAGCUAGUUGGUGAGGUAAUGGCUCACCAAGGCGACGAGCAGUAGCUGGUCUGAGAGGAUGAUCAGCCAAAGUGGGACUGAGACACGGCCCAAACUCCUACGGGAGGCAGCAGUGGGGAAUAGUGGACAAUGGGCGCAAUCCUGAUCCAGCCAUGCCGCGUGAGUGAUGAAGGCCCUAGGGUUGUAAAGCUCUUUUGUGCGGGAAGAUAAUGACGGUACCGCAAGAAUAAGCCCCGGCUAACUUCGUGCCAGCCGCCGCGGUAA